rnacentral:tRNA from 1 species
UCCCUUGUGGCUUAGCUGGUAAAGAAUCCACCUGCAAUGUGGGAAACCUGGGUUCGAUCCCUGGGUUGGGAA